UACCCCAUAGUCUAGUGGUUAGGACACCUCUCUUUAAAGGAGGUGGCGGGAAUUCGAAUUCCCCUGGGGUAU
rnacentral:tRNA from 1 species